CUUGUUCCUGACGGAGGUGUAGAAAGUCUGUAGCAUGAUGUAAUGGAAUUAAGACUGUUUCAAUGAAAUAUACAGCCCCUUUCUGGAAUCUACUUGUUCUGCUACCACUAUGGAUAUACCGACCUUUCUGUGCCUUUCAGGGACAAGGGUAGAAGAAGAGUUUCAGACUCCCCCCAAAACAAAACAAAAACUGAACAAUAAACAACCACCAAAAAAAAAAAAAAAACCAGGAAAAAAGGUGGAGGUACUCUUUCACCCUUGCCUGCUUUCUCCUGCUACCAAAACAAACAACAGAAACUACUUUUUCUCAUUGGAUCAUGUAGCUAAAAUUCUGCAGCAAAUUUGUAAAAGAAAAGAAGUGGAAAUCUACUUAAGAGCUCCUGUAAACCCUUUUGUACAAAACAACCACUUUGGUUCCCAUUAAAAAGUGUUAUCUGUUUCUUUGA